rnacentral:pre_miRNA from 1 species
ACCCAUGGACGAAGAGAGAGCGUACAGCCCCGGCAUUAUUAAAAUAUUUUCUUGCUUUUUUAGGGGGAGGAUAUUUUAGGGAGAGGAUGUACUCUCUCUCUUCUUCUGUUGGU